CCUUUACUGUAGCUUUGUAUUGGACUUUGAACAGAUCUGUGUAGGAUAGGUGGGAGGCUUUGAAGUGAGGUCGCUAGUUCUCAUGGAGCCAACGUUGAAAUACCACCCUGGUGUGUUUGAGGUUCUAACCUAGGUCCAUUAUCUGGAUCGGGGACAGUGCAUGGUAGGCAGUUUGACUGGGGCGGUCUCCUCCCAAAGCGUAACGGAGGAGUUCGAAGGUACGCUAGGUACGGUCGGACAUCGUGCUAAUAGUGCAAUGGCAUAAGCGUGCUUAACUGCGAGACUGACAAGUCGAGCAGAUGCGAAAGCAGGACAUAGUGAUCCGGUGGUUCUGUAUGGAAGGGCCAUCGCUCAACGGAUAAAAGGUA
rnacentral:rRNA from 1 species